AGCUCAGGCUCCCGACUUCAUUAAAGAUCUGAAAGUCCCUGUGCUGUGAGGUGGUAAUGGGUGUGACCAUUAAAGCCACAUGAUCUGUGUUCAAGUCCUGGCUUCACCACUUAUUAACUGUGUGAUCCUGGCAGCACGUCGUGUGAUGUCACCAAAUGGAGGCACGGUCAACUAGUCACUCUGAGGAUGGAGUGUCCUCCGGUGAGAAGCCUGGCCCCCCAUGGGGAGGGUCAUCUUCCAGAGAGAAUGCCUACUUCACCUCAUCUUUCAGGGGCCCUCUUCCUGACCGAAAGGCCGAAGGGAAUCCUGUGAGCAUGCAGCUUCUGACCCAGGAAUGAGGACGGGGGACGAGCCGGCGUGGAAGAGGCCAGAGCCACCGCCAUCUUGGGCCAAGUGUCUUGCAAAGGAGGCGGGGGUGUCAUCUGCUCUCGCCGAGGGAAGGGAAAUGAAAGGGUGAUGUGGAGGGACUGUGAGGCGGAAGAGGAGAUGUGAGGAGUCCCUGUGAAGAGGCCUGGACCUUCUCCGUCAGGAGGAAGAGAGAGACACAGGGAGACCACCCCGUAAAGAUGGAGGCCGAGACUGGCAUGAUGAUGAAUCUAAAGGCCAAGGAUUGCAGGCAGCCACCAGGAGCUGGGAGAGGGGUCCGGAACAGCUUCUGCCUCAGAGCCUGCAGAAGGCACCAGCCCUACCCAUGCCUUGCUUUUGGACCUCUAUCCUCUGGAACAGUGAGGGAAUACUUUGUUGUUGUUUUAAGCGAAGCUUGGCCAAGCUUGUGGUACCUUGUUAGAGCAGCCCCAGGGAACUGAUACAGAGGCUGAUGUUAGGAAAUUCUUGCUGUAGAUGCUCCUCCAGAGACACUUGAGAGAGGAACUGAGGCCCCUGCCCUCAGCCACACGGAGCGGGGCCCGUGUCUGAGGAGCUGCAGUGUGGCUGGCUUUGUGCCUAGGAUUCCGUGAGGCUGGAAGGUAACAACCCCAGGGUGGGCUCAUUCUACUGAAAAGCUGAGGGGGCAGAGUAAAAUGGGACCUGUCCAAAGUGUCAAUCUGAAGGUAAGACAAGGACAAAGGAGUCAGUUGAUUCAUUCAUUCAUUCACUCACUCACCUCUUACUUAGGGAGCCCUACUAUGUGCCUGGCCCUGGGAACACAAAGUCCAGAGACAAGAACCAGCCUGCCCUGCCCUCAGGAAGCUUGAGCCUGAGGGGUUCAUGCUCAUCAACCAGGAGGUUGGGUCCAUGAGCAUUAAGAUUUCUUCCAGCUCUGACAUUUGGUGACUAAAAGGGAGAAAAAGGGUGAUCUGGCUGGGGGCCAUCACGCUGCCACCAGGGCAUUUUUGGGGGCCACUGCUGUCUCUCUGCCUGGACAAGGCCAAGGAGGGGCUAUAGGGGAUGCGAGCCCAUGAGGACGUGGAGCUGGACCCCUAAUUUCCUCUACAGGCACAGGUGGUGAUGUACACUGUCGGGGACAAAUGCUGGCCCUGCCUGACCAGUGCAGCCACUGGCGGGACACUAUCUGCGGCGAGACGGGCCUCAGCGGCCACCACUAAUUGUACAAAACUGAAACAUCUCAAGAAUAUUUUCAGCCCAUUUGCACUUAUCAAAUAGCACACUGGAAACCCCAGCAAUUUGUGUAGGAUCCUUUCCAGAAUGAGGGAGAUUUCACAAACUUGGCCUCAUGCAGGGUGAGCUGCUUGGGAUUUCAGCCUCAGAGUGGGCCUGGCCUCCUUGUUCCCAUUUGCCCCACCUUCUCCCAGGGCUCCAGCCACUCCCCAGCACACCUGGCCGCACCAUGCAAGGCAACUCUGAGACAGACACCCCAGCCACAAGAUGUCUGUGUUCCUUUGGCUCUUUGGCUUCUCCUUCUUGGCAUUUUUGGCAGUUCCACGGUGCUCAGCAGCUGGGCAUCUGGCCGACUAAGAAAUGCAAAGUUCGGGGCCUGAAGCCGCUGCUGCCUUGGCUGUGGUUUGUCUGAAGCUCCAUUUCAUUUGGGCUAGAGGUGAACGCUUCCCUCCGGAGACCCCUGCAGGCGGGGUCUGAAGCGAAGGUCAAGG